CAUACCACCCUGAACGCGCCUGAUCUCGUCUGAUCUCGGAAGCUAAGCAGGGUCGGGCCUGGUUAGUACUUGGAUGGAAGACAAGU
rnacentral:rRNA from 1 species